GGAUUGUAGCUCAGUGGUAGAGUGCUUGCCUUGCAUGCAUGAAACCCUGGGUUCGAUCCCCAGUACCA
rnacentral:tRNA from 1 species